rnacentral:rRNA from 1 species
UCUGGCUAUAGGAAAUUGUUAGUGGCAGACGGGUGAGUAAUGCGUAGGAAUCUACCUAGUAGUACGGAAUAGCCAUUAGAAAUGGUGGGUAAUACUGUAUAAUCCCCGAGGGGGAAAGAUUUAUCGCUAUUAGAUGAGCCUACGUUAGAUUAGCUAGUUGGUGAGGUAAUGGCUUACCAAGGCUAUGAUCUAUAGCUGGUCUGAGAGGACGAUCAGCCACACUGGAACUGAGAUACGGUCCAGACUCCUACGGGAGGCAGCAGUGGGGAAUAUUGGACAAUGGGCGAAAGCCUGAUCCAGCUAUGCCGCGUGAGUGAAGAAGGCCUUCGGGUUGUAAAACUCUUUCAAUAGGGAAGAUAAU